AGUGAACGCUGGCGGUAGGCCUAACACAUGCAAGUCGAACGGCAGCACAGUAAGAGCUUGCUCUUACGGGUGGCGAGUGGCGGACGGGUGAGGAAUACAUCGGAAUCUACUUUUUCGCGGGGGAUAACGUAGGGAAACUUACGCUAAUACCGCAUACGACCUACGGGUGAAAGCAGGGGAUCUUCGGACCUUGCGCGAUUGAAUGAGCCGAUGUCGGAUUAGCUAGUUGGCGGGGUAAAGGCCCACCAAGGCGACGAUCCGUAGCUGGUCUGAGAGGAUGGUCGGCCACACUGGAACUGGGACACGGUCCAGACUCCUACGGGAGGCAGCAGUGGGGAAUAUGGGACAAUGGGCGGAAGCCUGAUCCAGCCAUACCGCGUGGGUGAAGAAGGCCUUCGGGUUGUAAAGCCCUUUUGUUGGGAAAGAAAAGCAGCAGGUUAAUACCCCGCUGUUCUGACGGUACCCAAAGAAUAAGCACCGGCUAACUUCGUG
rnacentral:rRNA from 1 species